GUGACGUCAGGGCGUUCUAAAAAAGAACCAAGAAAACAGUCGGCAUUGAGAAAAAUAGAUACACUCUGAUCGUAUUUAAAGGGGAAGCUCUAGGCACCCGAGUCAGACCCAGCUAUACAAACAAAGGCAGAGAGUGACUGCAGAGAAAAGCCUGUCCAGCAAACAUGGUGUCGCCCGUGACAGUGGUGAAGAGUGAAGGCCCCAAGCUUGUGCCCUUCUUCAAAGCCACUUGUGUCUAUUUCGUCCUCUGGCUGCCGACUUCCAGCCCUUCCUGGUUCAGUGCCCUCAUCAAGUGUCUACCAAUCUUCUGCUUGUGGGUUUUCCUGCUGGCACAUGGGAUCAAUUUCCUGAUGGCCCAUCGCAGCGCCUGUCGAAUCUUUGCUGGUUUGAUAUUCUCAGCUAUAGGAGAUGCCUUCCUCAUCUGGCAAGAGCAAGGCUACUUUGUUCAUGGUUUGUUGAUGUUUGCCAUCACCCACAUCCUGUAUUCCUCAGCAUUUGGGAUGAAGCCUUUAGACCUGAAAGCUGGCCUUGCAAUGGUCCUGGUGUCCAGUUUCUGCUACACCUUUCUGUAUUCCUACCUCUCGGGCCCAUUUACCUACCUAGUAGCUGUCUACGUUGCCUUGAUUGGCUUCAUGGGUUGGCGGGCCAUGGCCGGUGUGCAGCUCUGCAAUGAUCUUUGGACUUGGACCAAGCUUUCAGCUUGUAUUGGCUCAGUGCUCUUUAUGGUAUCAGAUCUGACCAUUGCGGUCAACAAGUUCUGCUUCCCUGUGCCCUACUCACGGGUUAUCAUCAUGGCCACUUACUAUGCAGCUCAGAUGCUCAUUGCGCUCUCUGCUGUGGAGAGCAGGGAUGAAGAAGUCUUCAGAAAGAGGAAGUAGAUGGUGAUGCCAGCAGCCUCACAAACUUUACUGGGGAUACCAUUGCUGCAUUCAUCCCUGGGGAGGUUCCUGACUCUCUAGGUGAAAUGAGUCGUCGCAGAUCCUGCUUCCUUGAAGCAUUAUAUUUAGUCUUUAGCUGGCUCUCCUCCAAUCCAGGUUGCUGGAGUGUGGAUGCCACACUGAAAUUUUAGAUUGUUCCUACAGACCUACUAGCUGACCUUUUUCAUCUUGAAAGCUUUGGAAGGCCUCUUUAUACUUCACUGUAUUUGUAUAAUACUGAAGCUGGUGCUGAGCAUUCCAGAAGAAGGCUCAUUUCAGGACAAUGUUUUUGGGGGGGGAUGGUUAAGCGGGGGGGGGGGGGAGUGUAGGCAGUAUCUUGGGGUUUGGGAACCUUGCCUUCAACGCUGGAUGUGCAAAGUAAUGUGAAAAUAUGCCUGAUCCAGUCCCCACUUCUGCGUGCAUUACAAUAGAACUGUGAAAUGAUUGUGGGUCUGCCCAAGGAAUCCCCAGGCUCUGAAGAAUACACAGGAGCACUUGCAGAAGCUGUAUGGAUAGUAAAGCUUGUGCUAUCCCUGUACGAAGCUGAUCUGAAUUCCAGAGUCAUGCAACCAUGUAUUUAUAUGCCAUUCAAAGCCCUUCUUAUGAAUGUGAAUCCUGUGGAGCAUCUGUUGUUCUGCAGACUUAAAAGCAACAACAAAAUGCAACAAAAUCAAAAUGCAACAACUUUCUCAGGCUUUGGGAAAAGAAAGGAGUUUUUUUUCUCCAAGCAGGUAACAAUAUACAGCUAAUCAACCUUUUUAGCAGACAGUCCCCAGCACGCAUAAUCUCAGGCUGGAGCAUCAACACGUGGAACAGAAGAAGAAUGUUUUCAACAUCACAGUGUUCUCAAAGUCUAGAUCACCAGCUGCUUUGUUGGCUGAAUUUGUUGGCCAAGGAAACCACUUGCUUGUCAGACCUGCUGUCAUUUCUGUGUGAGGGUCUGGGAAGAACUUGGAUUAGUGACAAUGUCUGGAACCAUUUUCUUGACUUCUUCUCUCCCUAUCUCGCAAACCGCCAAACAAAGCCAGUAUUGAGGCGUGGGCAGUGGAGUACACAAUAUGCUACAGGUGCUCUGGUCACUGUGAACUAGGGCCAUGUUAUGGAUCCCUAACAAGCAUUUGCAAGUCAUUGUUGCUACUAUGAACUUGGUGGAUUAUCAGGGAACAAUAUUUAUUUCAAAUGAAGUUGAUAGGCUUCCAUGUAUUUGUGCAUGUGUAUGUACCAGUCUCUGUGCAUAUGUGCACAUUACUACGAAGUAACUUUCCCACCACCUGCAGCCAGAACUGUAGAGACUGUGGGUGCCUUCAUACCAACAGCUGCAAUGCGGGUCAUGUGACAAGUACAGCCUAUCACCAAAGUGCUGAGACACCAUUCGAUAUACCACUCUCCCGAGCCAUUUAUCCAUUUUCAGUGGGCAGCCCUGAGCCAUUAUAGAGCUAGCAGAGGGGAAGAGGUUUCCCAACAGCUUCCCAAGAUUUUGGGUGUCAUGUUGCAAAAUGGUUUAGGUUGACCCGCACUGCAGCAGUCAGUGUGAAAACCCCUGGGUGCAUGCCCUCCAGGUUGCUCACAGAACUUUGGGGUAAUUAUACUUAUUAACCACAAUGCAUUUUUUAACUUCUUUUUGUAAUCUAGUAAGUGGAUAUUGUUUAAGCGUUUCUUCCCUUUUAGCCCAAACAGUCAGAAAAUAUAGCAUACCCCCUUAGACACCCACAGCCACAUUUUCUUGUUGGAAUUCUGACUUUGCUCAUAAAACUCACUGUGCAGAUUAAACAUACACCCAGGUUUUUAUUUACCUGUAAAAGUGUGGAAAGAAUCCUUUAAAAAUAAUAGCCUUAUUUUUUUGAAAGCCGGUUCUUAAGCAGUGCCUCUCUAAAGAAGUGCUCUGCAUAUUCCAGGUAGUUUGCAUUUGUCCAGUUAAUAUUUCCCGUAUAAUACAUUCACACUACUUAUUCAGAAGUGUCCUAUAACCUAUUUGGACCCUCUUCAUUCGGGAUGCUGUCUUGAACUCGACAGGCCAGACUGAGCAAUGAUCUCAACAGGUGACAGAGGAUGAGCUGGGCUGUCUGCUAUGUGUGGUUGACUUCUUGCAAUGAAUGCAAGGGCCAAAGGACCUAUUUUUACCUGGGAUACCCUUUUGCAUUUCAGUUGUCUGUUAGUUGCACGCACAUUCAGGGGCGUAGCAAGGCUGGAGUGGGCCCAGAGACAAGAUUUUAAAAUGCACCCCCCCCACUAAAGCUCAGCUCAUGAAGUAAAGAAAUCUUAAAUGAGGCUGAAUAGUGGUAACAAAAAGCAUAGUAAAUUUUUAUUUAUAUAUAACUCCUAUGUGCCACAAUCAUCCUAAAUUAUUUUAAAAAUGCAAGUCAUUUAAUAAUAAUUUAGUAAUAGAGAAAGACAUGCUGUUCUGGUAGCUCCAGCUCUUAACACUCACAUCCAUUUCACAGGAUGAAUACAACUGAAGGAAGCCCGGGUGGGUGCACAGCUGGAGGAGUCAGUCAUGUGACUUGCCUCUGGUGGCCCCCCUAGGCAGUGGGUCCCCAGACAACUGUCUCCCUUUGCCCUAUUAUAGUUACGCCCCUGCACACAUUAACAUGUUUAUUGGACAUUCCCUUAUAGUCAGCUCUAGUGAUAUGUUGGCAGAGAGCUGAGGACAUUCUGAGGGGCCCUAUCUGCAGUACAAAUGCAUUUUGAUUUUAUACCACUUUAUCUGUCAUGGCUUCCCCCAAAGCUUCCUCAAAUUGUUAAUUUGGGGAGAAUGCUGAGAAUUUCCCACUGUAGAGUUCUAGCGUCACUUUAGAGAGCUGCAGUUCCCAAUAGUCCCUGCGAAGAUGGUUUCAUCUGUGGUGUGACUAUGCCCAGAGUAUGCCUGAGUCAUUCAGACAAAUUAUUUUGAAAGCAUAGAGGCAGAACAAGACUAGAGUGACACACAGCCCAAACUUAUGGUAAUAUUGACAGCUGCCAUUGACCAUGAUUAUAGGGGGGUGAAUGGUGUCAUAACCUUUGGCAUCUCUUUGGUGAUAAUUUUAUAUACCUUGCAUUGGAAACUUAAGUUGUAAAGUGGUUCCGUUUUAGACCAGAAGUGCCAACAAGGACUAUGAUGGAGUGCAAUUCUAGUCUUUUUCUAUCUGUGUCUGAAAGUACUAAAUGGAGCUCAUGAUCUGCUUAGCCCAGGAAAGCUUCUAUGAAACAGGACAAGCAAACAGGCUUGUAUGAAACAAGACAAACAAACAAACAGGGAAUCAGGGCUAAGGGAAGCUUGUGCCCUGAUUCAAAGUCUUUCUGUUUGACUUACUUUUAUCUGUGUGCAUUUGUGCACGUACACCUGAAAAGGGAUAGAAACAGCAGCAACUCUUCUGUGAUGGAAUGUUAUUUUGCUUUAAGAUGGGCAGGACUUUUAGACUUAGUGUGCACAGUCAUAGCCAUGGAGUAGAUUCAACUUUAUGUGGUCUGCAGUAUGGCUGCGACUUAACGUGGGGAAAAUCUUGUCUUAGGGCAGUGUGCUGGACCAGCUCAGGUAUGUCUAAUCCAGUUAUCUUCACAGUUUUUCAAGUGGAGGCAACUUUGGCAAAAAGCUUUCCGUGUGGAACUGUUUUGUGCCAACCUCUGCAAAUGCUGUGCUUUUCCCAGUGAGGGGAGGAACCCAAGCAAAACAGAGGUCUGUAAAGCCCCACUCCGUUUUAGAGUGUGUGCACAGACUGCUGGGCAAUGUAAUCCUUCUCAGCUCUUUCCCUAUGAACUCUUUGGGGAAAGCAUUGGGAAGGACUACACUUCCCACUGUCCCAUGCACACUUUCUAAGAGGAUGCUGGGACUUGAGAGGGCUCCAUUUCACUUGGAGGAGCUGCACCAGUGCUGGGGAAACUGCAGCAUUGUAUGUACAGUUGCUCAUGGGGCCAGAGCAGCUGUGCAGAGUAUUGGCUUUGGCCGAAGCUUUGCACAGGCCUCAUAAACAAUUAGUCAGGGAGUUGCCAUUGGGGUUAAUGGCAACUGCUCCUGGCUCCUGGACCUUGCAGUGAGGAGGAUUGGUCUGUCUGCCUGCAGGCAACAUGGCUGAUUUUCAAUUAAUGGGUAAGUGACACAAAAUAAUAGCUUACAGAUUGUGAAAUCUUCGCUCUUAUGGAGCGAGUGGGCAGAUUUUUUGUUUUAUUUUAUUUGUAUGGUCCAAGGAAGAUUACCGGGAUGAGUAAUUAAUUGUAUAGAUUGAUUGCACUCCAAAUUAGGACUUUGCUGCCUGGCCCUGGUCUGGCACAGGCUCUGACCGAUGAACAUUUUCACAUGUAAGCUGAAAUCAUAAAGGUGAUCUCUCAUGCUGUUUGUGUUGUGGUUAAUCAAAAAAGGAAGUGGAACAGAGGCAUUUAGAAUGCAACUAAGCCUUCUGGCCAAGUGUGUGUUUAUUUUCAUAUUGCAAAUGGAUUGAAGCAAGAAGCACUUUAAGCCUCAUGUGUGAAAAUGCCCGGGUAGUCUGUGUGAUUUGCCUUGUAAUGGGGUCCUUUUAUUCUGUUCCAGAAAAUGACAUAUUUCCAACCUGAUCACAAAUCCCAACUAAAAAUUUAGUCAGCACUCCACACAACGUUCAUUGGGUAACAUGAUGCAUAGUGUUAUGGAAUCAAAAUGCUGUGUGGCACUGGGGCUGCUGUGGACUUCAAAGGUAGAGAUGCAGAAGCAACAUUUCCAGAGGUUUCUCCAUUGUCACAAAUCAGGCCACCUGCAGAGACACUGCUUCUACAACUGCUGCUUCAAAACAGCGUCAGGGCUGCCUUUGGAAUCUGCAGGUGUCCUGGCAUGGUGUUAUGGCUCCAUAACACUGCGCAUAAUGUUAGCCAGUAGGUCAUGCAUGUACUUAGAGCCAUCUGGCUGACAAUCUGUGAAAGAUCCACGUCUUAUCAUUAUUACUUUUAUUCUAACUUGAAAAAGACAUGACUGUUUCAUGGGGGGUUGUUGACCAGACGGCACUACGAAUGUACUCAGUGUACUGAAUGUUGUGUGGACUGGUAGCUAAAUCUCUAGUUGGAGUUUUUGCUGAAGUUGGAAUAAAUCACUGUCUGGAAGAGCUCUCACAUUCAUUCUCCACAAAAUGAUACUUUAGUGUUACUAAUGGCUCCAUCCAUUUUUCUUCCAGAAUCUACUUCUACUACUAUUUUCUUUAAUUUAGCACUACGUUUAUUUCAGAUUUUUAUUCUAGAACAAACAAUGUAGAAAGUGAAGAAUUUCCAGAAUUAAAAAUGGUAAACUAGAAGAUUUUUUUUUAUGAUCAUAACUUAAGUGACAAGUGUUCAUGUUUAAUCUUAAUCAACAUUACUCAAGACAGCUGCUUGUUCCAGAAUGUAACUGAAAUAAUAAAGAAAUAACUCUUCUUCUGGAGAAAGGAUUGAAGAACUGGUUUUUGGGACAAGGGAGUGGCUGAAAACAAUGCCUCUUCCAUCCUUUUGUAAACGCCUCAGCAGUAUGUGUAUUAGGGAACUCUUAUUUGCUAGUUUACUGGCAUAACUUGCUUCUUUAUCCAGAUGCUAAGUAGAUUUCAUACCCAUCACUCUCCCUAUAACCACUGGUAAAGAGGCAUUUCCUCUCUAAGCAGAGUUGCCAGGGUGUCCUUUAUUUUACAGAAUGCCAGCUCUACAGAAUACAAUGGAUGCCACCUCCUACUUUUUCUAUUCCACUCACUUCUCUGACUGUUUAUAGGAUUAGCUCCACCACAUGCUUUGUGUUUUGCUGUUGGAUCUGGCAGCCUUACUCUUAGAAACCUUGCACAGCCACCCACCACCUCCUUGAAUCACUGACUUAAAAUAGGCUCUUGGAAUCUAUUGCUGUUCUUCAACUUCAUCAGAGAGGGUGUUUGUUUGUUUCCUUUAAUGAGGGGGAAAUAGUUAAAAUCAGGGCUUCCCUUGCUUAGAAAAGGAAGUUUUCUAUGUGAAGCUGUCUUAUGAUGGGUUAGUUCAGACAUCACAUGGAGCCUUGGUUAGAGCUGGGCUCUAUAUGACGUCCCUGAGCUCAGCAAUAUGCACUCCCCCAACAUCCCCACUUGAGCAUCUGCUUCCUAGCUAAGUUAAAAUAAGCCACAAUUGGUCAUGUCGUCUAAACAUAUCAAUAUCAGCUAACCUACUUGCUUCAAAUAACCUGAGGUCUAUAUCUUAGUUCAAACCUUGGGUGCAGAGGUUCUAAUUGAGCUUCUGCGUGAUGUCUGAACCAGUCCACUGAGCAGACUGAACCAGCUCACGUAGCUCUCCAGGAUUUUGGACAGGGGUCUUCCCCAAGCCUACUUAGAGAUGCCAGGGAUUGCACUCAAGACCUUCUGUAUAGAAAGCAUGUGCUCUACCGCUGUGUUGCAAUUCCUCCGCUUAAAAAUAAUGGAAAGCAGGACAAUGUGGACACUAAUUUUUAUGGUUUUUGUAUUGUAUGGAAUACAUACAUUAAAAAUGGGAUACUGUAGUAUGUGUGCAGAAGACUAAAAAGCAUUAUCAGAAGCAGCACCCUUGAGAUAAUCUGCUGUCUAUCUAAAUUGGGUAAUUCUAUUUCAUUUUUUAAAUAUUUCAUAUUUUUUUAAAAAAAUCAGAUCUGCAAUAUUUAACUGUUUAAUAUAUUCCAUUAGGAAAAUGAUAGCAUACGUUUGAGAGAGUAAAGCGUUUUCUCCUCUCCCCCAACGCUACCCCCGUCAUGGCUCCUGUGAUUUUACCACAAAUUGGUUAUCUGUCUUUCAUGUCACAGUUAAAAAGCAUUUGAAGCAAAUGGGGGGGGGAGGUGGGGGGGGCAGCUUUAGAGAGAUGAGAAAUGCUGGCAAUACUAUUGGGAGUCUAUUGGGCCCGAAUCGAAGGCCUGGUUUAAAAUAACACGGGGAUGUAUAAUCUCUUGGCUCUAAUGCUGUUACAUAAUAUUGUCAGCAUUUCGUUUUAGAGAAGAAUUGUGUCUGGUGAGGAUGAAGCCUCAAUAAGAGGCUUUAGCCAGUUGGCUUCUUCAUUCAUCUGGCCUGCUUAUCUGCCGUCCUCACCAUGAACUCUGCCUUGCUGCAGAAUUGCAGGGUAUCCCCUAUCAUUCUGUGUCUGGUGUGCAUGCAAACAUCUUCCAACUUUCAAAAUCCAUUGAGUGUGUGUGUGUGUGUGUGUGUGUGUGUGUGGUGGCGGCAAGGACCUAAGCAGAGUAUGGAGAUUACUAAAAAGCCUUACUUAAAUAUAAUGUGAAAAUUAGUCCUUUGAUUUAUUUCUUCUGCUCUAAAGAGGGCUCAGAAAAGCAAUUUGCUAGUAGCAGAUGGCGAGUUCAUAUGCACUCUCUCUGACUGUACAAUCUCUGGGUAAUUUAUUUUACAUUGACACGUUUUUAAUGCACGGAUGUCUGUUUCCUUAAUUGCUUUGCACGUGUGUUUUCAUUUGGUUUGCAAAUGGAGAGUUACCAUUUGCACACUAUUAAGUCACUGAACUUGAUAGUGCUUUGUUUGCACCCUAGUCAGUGAAGAAGAGUCAAUAUAAUGGAAAACAUGCAUUGUCAGUUUGAGGCAGUUUAAUUCUGUUAUGGCAGGAGUUUAGGUGGGUUACUUGAGUCCUGGAUGGCAAAGUAUAUGCAGUCUUCAUUAAGAUGCCUACCACUUGGUUUUGGGUCAAAGUUUUUAUUAUUGUUUACUUUUGGUGUGGGUGGGGGGGAUAAAAAAGGGGGAAAGUUUUAAAAAGAGGGUUUUUAAAAAAAACAUAUUUCUUAAUUUCCAUAACUAUCCCCAUACUUUCCACCUUCCUUUGGAGAAGAUUAGCUUUCUUUACCUCGGAAGAUGUGUAGCUUCCUAAAGAAAGUUCACUUGUUUGUUUUAGCACUUUUAGAUCUGUUUUUUAAAUCUCAGGUUAGACAAUCAAGAGUUCAUUAUAGGAUGGGCAACUUCCCCUUGCUUAUUUAUUGCAGAGCUGAAUAAAUGUGAGUCGGGGGGAAUCCUCAGGCAAAUUCUCUGUGCUUUGUUUUGCUAGCUGAAUUUGAAUUAUUAACAUUAUUAAUUAUGGAUAGUCUUGAAAUUUGGACUCCAAACCUUUCAACAUUUUGGGAAUGGAAAUGGAGACACGCCUGGGCAGGGGCUCUUCCAGAGGGUGAUAUACCCAAAUGACAUUAGGAGAUAAAAUGAGAAAUCCACAUGACAUUCAAGGACAGACGUCAUGUAAUAUUCCUAAUACUGUAUGAGAGCAAGCCACCUAAUGGCGCAGCAGGGAAGCAACCUGCCUAGAGAGCAUGAGGCUGUUGGUUUGAAUCCCUGUUGGUAUGUUUCUCAGAUUAUGGGAAACACCUGUAUCGGGUAGAAGCGAUAUAGGAAGGUGCUGAAAGGCAUCAUUUCAUACUGCAUGGGAGAAGGCAAUGAUAAAUCUCUCCUGUAUUCUACAAAGAAAGCCACAUUGCUCUGUGGUUGCCAGGAGUUGACACCAACUCAACAGCACAACCUUUCCCUUUCUGUUCCAUAUGAGAGCAAUCAGUGAAAAAGCCAUGUUUUUUUCCAAACUCUUUUUAUUCUACCUUGGUGGGGAAAGGCCUUUUCACAGAAUGCUGCAGAUUGCAACAGAUGGCAUUAAGAAUAUUACAUGGUGUCCUUGAACACUGUGUGGAAUUCUCAUUUUAUCUCCUCUCAUAAUUUGUAAUGAAGCUGGAAUAUGUUGCUGUUUGGAACAGUCUCUUUAGUUCUGUAAGUGGAAGGUGUUUCUGCUCAUGCAAGAAGAGAGGGCUGAUUCUCCCUGAUUCCCCAUUUCCUUGGCUGCUUGUUGGACCCUCCAAAAUGAAUAAGUGAAAAUCACCCCUUGUCCAAGCAGGACAUCUUCCAUUCACAGAACUGCUAGUCAAGAUGCUGUCCAUUGCUGAAGGCUCUUCACUACCUGCUGUAUGAUGCUGUCAUUUACUCUGUAGCAAUCUGUCCUCAGCUGACUUUAAAUGCCAAGAGGGCAUUUGUUUAUUAUCCUAUGAUAUGUUAUGAACAAAUAUACACACCAAACUCUGGCCCCAUUUGGACAUAACAGGAAACUGGAGUUGAAGGGGCCUGAGGUUGAAUUUAUUAUACAUCUGAAUGUGUGCAACCACAUUUGGUUGCACAAAAACCAAGACACAAAAACGACCCAAGGUUUCCCUCCACAAACUCCAAUUUGAAUCUUCAGUUUGUAGGGGAUUUUGCUGCUCCUACCUGAGGUUUGCGCUAGCUGUGAUUGGCUGACAGGGCUGUCCUUCAUUCCAUAAGGAAGCCCAUGCAGCCAGUUCUCCCUCCUCUCUGCAGCCUCCCUGACUGCAGUUUGGGUCCUACACAUGCAGAUGUUUCUGUAAUCUGUUUGAGUUGCAACAGGCCUAAUAUCAAACAGCCCACCUCCCAUCAUCUGCUGAUCAGCACUGGCAAAGUGGUGUCUGUUCAGCAACAGAUAUUCUUUCUCAUAGCAGCUACUGUGUGUGUAUGGAUCUUUAUAUUGAGGGCUCUCUUGAUACUAUAUUAUGAAAUGUGUUAAUUUGAGGGCGGGGGGAGCUGUCAAAAUUGUACAAGAAGUCUAAAAUGAAUCAUUAAACUCCCUCAGAAAAACAAUCUGUUCUUUACCUAGUGCAUCAGUUGUAUGAGCACAACUUGUGACUAUUUGGUUUGGAUGUCAUAGCUAUUUGUGAAACGAUCACUGACCUUUGAGGAGGGGGAAGAAAAAUCUCUUUGUUGUGGAAAGGCUGAGAGAGUAAGUUCAGGUCUAGAGAGGCAAUUCCCUUGGUGCCCUUGGUGCAUAAGGUUUGUGUUUGGCUUUGACAUUUUUGGGUUGCCUUGAUAAGUUGCUUAAACCUCUUGAGCUCUGGCCGAGGACAUCUAGUUGGCACUGCGGAGGCCUCCAAACAGGGAUGUUCAUCAAAAGACGCAAUCUGCCAGGUUAAUGAGCAUUGCAGCUGAGAUGAGGUAUUUCAUAUUUAAAGCACUUCACAUGUAUUAUCUUUAUGCAGUCCUUACAAGAGGGGCAGCACAAGGCUUUAGGAAGGAAGAGAUUCCUCCAGGAGGUAAAGCCAGAGGCACUUUCCUCCCAGCAGCAGAGGUUUAGCAUUGCAGCCAGCAAAACUGCUACAGUAACUGUGGAGGCUGCAGAGAUGUAGGGAACUUAUAGGCACAUUUUGGGCACAGUAGUCACCUACUUCCCUGGUUGGUUGUUGGGAGGGACAGAGAUGCUUUGGGUCUUGAUCUCUUCUAAUGACAGUGUUUGCUUCUUAUUCCAAUCCACUAAUCCUUUGGCAGUAAAAUCUAAAACACUAACGUGCGAAUUAUUAUUUCUCAAUAGGCUAUUUCAGCAUUAUACAAACAUGAACAAGUCUGUUGUAACAGUCCCCAACUACCCACAAGGCCAUUGUAGGUUCCUGGAGGUGAAUUAAAAAGCAUUGUCUGCCGUCUGAUACAAACACCUGCCUUUUAUGUUACAUGUGGUGAGGAGUUCUUGGGAGCAUCUUCACACAGCAAAGCUGCCUCCGCCAUCUUCAUCAUGUAUGCAGAGGAUUCGACUACUUUGAAUAAGGAUAAAAUCAUUUUCUGUGUCCAGAUAAACUCUUAUUUUACACCACAACUGUUUGUAAAAAUAUAUUUUGAUUCUUA